AUAAUGGGCUUUUGAAAAAUCUGCAUCCUCUACUAAAGAAUGUUGCUGCCUAUCCCCUUAUUUUCUGCCGAGGGACACCGUUCAGAAGAAUUCUCUGUGAUGGGGAGAGAAAGGUCCACGGUAUCACUGAAGCAUUAAGAACAUGGAGACUCAAGACAGGAAGCCAAAGACCAAGGAACUUUGGGUCCUUGUUUUUCUCCCCCACAAGAAUCUCCUGAUGAGGCCACAAAUGCCUCCGGCCACACACUUAGCCCUGCCCUGCUUCUGAGCCAAAUGAAGUGGGAUAUGAAGGUCCUUAAGGUGUGGCCACCGAGAUCAUGCUUCCUAAAUGAUGACGUGGUUACUAAAAUCAGUAAUGACAAUAUCCAACGUUUAUUGGACACAUAUAAUGGUCAGCUCCCAUUCAAAGCUUUUUCACUUUUAUGAAGUGCUCACUGUAACCCC
rnacentral:lncRNA from 1 species